rnacentral:lncRNA from 1 species
CAGGAAGUGGUUACUGCUGCACGUUUCCCGGCUCGCCAUGCCAUAGGGUGUCCUCUACUGAACCUGGGGGCUUGGGAAGCCCCGGAUCAGCGGUCAAGCGCCGCUCUGACAUUCUACCAGUCACAAUCACAGUGUCACUGAAUUCUGAGCUCAAUCCGAGAGUUCACCAAAUGCAAGGGAUGAAAUGGGUCGGCGUGCCUGAGGACGGUCAGUCUCGUAAGAGGAAAGUGGUCACCACUGAAACUCGUGUCGCCCCCGGAAUUACUUAGGUAACGCUUGGGGGGGGGUAAGAAUAAGGGGGGGAUGGGGAAGCCCCUCCGGAGUGAC